rnacentral:ncRNA from 1 species
UUAUGGGUGAAAGUCCCAUCCCGGUAACUGCCAAGAGGCUGGGUAGCUAAUCCCGGUGCGUCGCAGAAAUGCGGGGUGCUGAGCGGGAGGAUAAAGUACCUGGAAACAGGGCGAGCAAAGAUAUAGACUGCAACAUGA